rnacentral:rRNA from 1 species
UGGGGGAUAUUGCACAAUGGGCGAAAGCCUGAUGCAGCGACGCCGCGUGGGGGAUGAAGGCCUUCGGGUUGUAAACUUCUUUUGCUCUGAACAAGGCAUGCUAAUGGGUGUGUUGAGUGUAGGGGUUGAUUAGCGCCGGCUAACUACGUGCCAGCAGCCGCGGUAAUACGUAGGGCGCGAGCGUUGUCCGGAAUUAUUGGGCGUAAAGGGCUUGUAGGUGGCUGGUUGCGUCUGUCGUGAAAGCUCAUGGCUUAACUGUGGGUUUGCGGUGGGUACGGGCUGGCUUGAGUGCAGUAGGGGAGGCUGGAAUUCCUGGUGUAGCGGUGGAAUGCGCAGAUAUCAGGAGGAAUACCGGUGGCGAAGGCGGGUCUCUGGCCUGUUACUGACACUGAGGAGCGAAAGCAUGGGGAGCGAACAGG